rnacentral:rRNA from 1 species
GACGAACGCUGGCGGCAUGCUUAACACAUGCAAGUCGAACGGAGACGCCGUGCCUUUGUGGGGUGCGCGAAUGGCGAACGGGGGAGGAGCCCGUGGGUAACGUGCACUUGACUUUGGCAUAACUUCAGGCCACUGGGGCCAAUACCGGAUAGGAGCUACCGCUGCAUGGUGGGGGUUGGAUAGUUUCGGCGGUUGGGGAUGGACUCGCGGCUCAUCCGCUUGUUGGUGGGGUAGUGGGUUAGCAUGGCUUGGCCCCGUAGCCGGCCUGAGAGGGGGACCGGACAAAGUGGGACGGAGAUGCGGCCCAGACUCCUAUGGGAGGCAGCAGUGGGGUAUAGUGCACUAUGGGCGGAAGCCUGAUGCAGCAACGCCGCGUGGGGUAUGACAGCCUUCGGGUUGUAAACCGCUUUCGCCUGUGACGAAGCGUGAGUGACGGUAAUGGGUAAAGAAGCACCGGCUAACUACGUG